GUAGGUGUAGUUAUCAGGCGAGUAAGAGACCAUUCACGCUACUCCAUCAAAUCUCAACCAUAGAUCUAGUGGCGGCUACAAUCUCAGUCCUCUCGCGCUUUCCUUCCUCUUUCCUCCUAAUACACGCCACCCUCCUUACUCUCUCACUCCAACACAUCAUUAACUUUUCUUCUCUCUCUUUUCUUUUUAAUUUAUAAAAAGCCCUUGCGUUUCUUUCAAUUCCUCAACACAUUAAAAAAAAGCAAGUCAACAGAAUACAAAAUGGCCAACGUUGCUCCGGGAAAUGCCGGCGGUCACUUCGGAGAUUUUCCGGCGUUUCAUACCUACGGCGGUCAAUUUAUUCAGUACAGUAUUUUUGGAAACUUAUUUGAGAUCACGUCUAAAUAUCGGCCUCCCAUCAUGCCAAUCGGUCGUGGAGCCUACGGCAUCGUCUGCUCGGUGUUGAAUUCGGAGACGAAUGAAAUGGUAGCGGUAAAGAAAAUCGCCAACGCUUUCGAUAAUCACAUGGACGCUAAGCGUACGCUUCGUGAAAUUAAGCUUCUCCGACAUUUGGAUCACGAGAAUGUUAUCGCAAUUAGAGAUGUCAUUCCUCCGCCUUUGCGGAGAGAUUUUAAUGAUGUCUACAUUGCCCUGGAGCUCAUGGAUACCGAUCUUCACCAAAUAAUUCGCUCCAAUCAGAGUUUAUCUGAGGAGCAUUGUCAGUAUUUCUUAUAUCAGCUUCUUCGAGGACUCAAGUACAUUCAUUCUGCAAAUGUGAUUCAUAGAGAUUUGAAACCCAGCAACCUCUUGCUGAAUGCUAAUUGUGAUCUUAAGAUUUGUGACUUUGGUCUCGCUCGACCUGCCUCCGAGAAUGAGUUUAUGACGGAAUAUGUUGUCACGAGAUGGUAUAGGGCACCAGAGAUAUUGCUGAACUCUUCGGACUACACGGCCGCCAUAGAUGUCUGGUCUGUUGGUUGCAUUUUUAUGGAGCUCAUGAAUAGAAAACCUUUGUUUCCUGGAAAUGAUCAUGUACAUCAAAUGCGUUUGUUGACAGAGCUGCUUGGCACUCCAACUGAAUCUGAUCUUGGGUUUCUUCAAAAUGAGGACGCGAGAAGAUACAUCAGGCAGCUACCUGCAUACCCUCGUCAACAGCUAGCUAAUGUUUUCCCACAUGUUAAUCGGAUGGCUCUUGAUCUGAUUGAUAGAAUGUUGACAUUUGAUCCAACCAGAAGAAUUACUGUUGAAGAAGCAUUGGCCCAUCCUUAUCUUGAAAGGUUACACGACAUAGCUGAUGAACCAGUUUGCCCUGAGCCAUUUAAUUUCGAUUUUGAACAGCAACCAUUGGGAGAAGAGCAGAUGAAGGACAUGAUUUACCGGGAAGCCUUAGCUCUGAAUCCAGAUUAUGCUCGAUAACAAAAUGGAGUUAUCUUCUAAGUGCGCCACUCCAAGUAAUCUUUGAUGUAAGAGUGUGGUGGCUGAUGAUACAUACCGACCAGAAUAUGCGGAUGGGUUGACCGCCUUGAUUUUAGCUUUCACGAGGUGCAGCAGAUGACGUCAUUGCUUGUGAUUCGCGGCAUGCAUCAUAGAUUCAUGAGUAUGCUCCACAUUUGAUUGUCUUGGUAAUUUUAACCGCAGGAAAGAGCAUUUAUAUGAUUGACUGAUAAACGCCGUGGUUGGAUUAGUAUUAAAAAAAAGUGCUAAAUUGCAUCCAAGGUCACUAAAUUAUUAGUAAGAUUACUUUUUGGUCACUCAACUUAAAAGUGUUACAAAUGGUUCUUAAACUAUUCAAUAGUUUUCAUCUAAGUCAAUGGGCUAUUAAAACUA